CGCGCAUUCCUUAUAUUGCAACAGCGCCUGCUAAAAAUAGAGCGCCGCCUCCGUGGGCGCUGGGGGGGCCGGGCCCGGCGCCGCGACCCUGCCACCCCCGCGGGCCCCAGACUCCCAGGACGCGCGGCUCACGAGAUCCCGUCUCCAGUGUCGCUUCCCGAAGGCCCUGUCGGUGCCGGUUCUUGAGCCUAAAGUUCGUUCAGAGAGAGGCGACGGACGGGGACAGGCGACACUCGCGAUCCAUUUCAUCUUUUCAGUUCCGCUGACUCCUCUCCAUCGGCGUCAUUUUCCCCUGCUUUUAAAAACUGAGAUAUAAUUCACACACCAAAAAAUUACAGCUUUUAAAGUGGGCAAUACAGUAGUUUUUAAUUUAUUCACAAAGUUGUACAACCAUCACCAUUACCUAGUUCCAGAUCAUUUUCAUAACACCACCUCCCCUUUAAAAAAAAAGAAGAAGAAGAAGAAAAAAAGAACCCAUUUACAGUUACUCCCCAUUCCCUCCUCCUACCGGCCGCUGGAAACCACUAAUCUACUUUCUGUCUCUAUGGAUUUGCCUACUCAGGACAUUUCAUGAAAGUGGAAUCAUACAUGUGGUCUUUUGUGACCCAGCUUCCUUCACUUCACAGGAUUUUUUCAAGGUUCAUCAACGUUGCAGCAUGUAGCAAUGCUUCAUUCCCUUUUGUGAUUGAAUAGCAUUGGGUUGUGUGGACACACUACCUUUUAUCUUUGAUUAGCUGAUGGACAGUUAGACGGUUUGUACUUUGGGGCUAUUAUGAAUAAAACUGCUAUGAACAUUCAUGUACAA